AGUGAACGCUGGCGGUAGGCCUAACACAUGCAAGUCGAACGGCAGCUCAGUAAGAGCUUGCUCUUACGGGUGGCGAGUGGCGGACGGGUGAGGAAUACAUCGGAAUCUACUUUUUCGUGGGGGAUAACGUAGGGAAACUUACGCUAAUACUGCAUACGACCUACGGGUGAAAGCCGGGGAUCUUCGGACCUUGCGCGAUUGAAUGAGCCGAUGUCGGAUUAGCUAGUUGGCGGGGUAAAGGCCCACCAAGGUGACGAUCCGUAGCUGGUCUGAGAGGAUGAUCAGCCACACUGGAACUGAGGCACGGUCCAGACUCCUACGGGAGGCAGCAGUGGGGAAUAUUGGACAAUGGGCGCAAGCCUGAUCCAGCCAUACCGCGUGGGUGAAGAAGGCCUUCGGGUUGUAAAGCCCUUUUGUUGGGAAAGAAAAGCAGCAGGUUAAUACCCCGCUGUUCUGACGGUACCCAAAGAAUAAGCACCGGCUAACUUCGUG
rnacentral:rRNA from 1 species